ensembl:snRNA U4 U4 spliceosomal RNA
GAAAUCGUAGCCAAUGAGGUUAAUCUGAGGCGCGAUUAUUGCUAAUUGAAAACUUUUCCUCAAA